rnacentral:misc_RNA from 1 species
AGCAGCCGCGGUAAUUCCAGCUCCAAUAGCGUAUAUUAAAGUUGUUGUGGUUAAAAGCUCGUAGUUGAACCUUGGGCCUGGCUGGCCGGUCCGCCUCACCGCGUGUACUGGUCCGGCCGGGCCUUUCCCUCUGUGGAACCCCAUGCCCUUCACUGGGUGUGGCGGGGAAACAGGACUUUUACUUUGAAAAAAUUAGAGUGCUCCAGGCAGGCCUAUGCUCGAAUACAUUAGCAUGGAAUAAUAGAAUAGGACGUGUGGUUCUAUUUUGUUGGUUUCUAGGACCGCCGUAAUGAUUAAUAGGGACAGUCGGGGGCAUCAGUGUUCAAUUGUCAGAGGUGAAAUUCUUGGAUUUAUUGAAGACUAACUACUGCGAAAGCAUUUGCCAAGGAUGUCUUCAUUAAUCAGGAACGAAAGUUAGGGGAUCGAAGACGAUCAGAUACCGUCGUAGUCUUAACCAUAAACUAUGCCGACUAGGGAUCGGACGAUGUUACUUAUUGACUCGUUCGGCACCUUACGGGAA